CUCAUUGUGUGUAGGUCUGUAAAGUUACACACAUUAAAAUUGUGAUUUUUGUGGGGAGAAAUAUAUCUCGGAUUGUUAUUAGCAAGAUGGAUUAAUUGUUUUAAGUCGUGUACUUUACAUUUUCUUUUAGUUUUACAAGAGGAACUAAAACCAUGAAACAAGGAAGUGUUGUAUCUGUGUUGCUUUUGUUGGCGGCGUGCUGUUUGGUGCGUUAUGUUCAGAGCACGACAGCUUCGUCCAAUGCGCGCCAACUGUUGGACGGCCUUCAGAAAUUCUUUGACAACGCUCACGAGUAUAUCGGCAACAGUAAGAAGGGGUGUGUCUUCCAGUGCCCUGACGGAAAUACACCGAAGCAAAAUCCAGAAUUUACGCCGACUUCGAACGGCUGCGGUGCUUUUGGCUUUAAGCUAGAAGAGCAUAUAAAAAUAGCUGACGUCACUAGUUGCUGUGACGCACACGACGUCUGCUACGACACGUGCAACAGACCGAAAGACACGUGUGACAUUGAGUUCAAGGAGUGUCUCGAGGAUUUGUGUACCAAAUACACUGACGUCUUACCCAACCCCGAGUGGCCAAAAUACUGUGUGCAUGGUGUGGACAUGAUCUACGCUGCUACCAUGUUGCUGGGAUGUAAACCCUACAGAGAUGCCCAGGAGAAGGCGUGUGUAUGUGAGACCAGUAGAUCUGAACUCUAGGGACACUGAUGUGUUAGACAGUCGAGUAUGUUAGCUGCACUAGUCAUGUUGUUGUAUCUGUUGGUGAUGUGUCAGUACAGGUGUGGCAGGUAUUUUAUGUCUCAGGUGUAGUGUGUCAUGUUGUAUGUGUUGGUGAUGUAUCAGUACAGGUGUGGCAGGUAAUUUAUGUCUCAGGUGUAGUGUCUCAUGUUGUGUCUGUUGGUGAUGUAUCAGUACAGGUGUGGCAGGUAAUUUAUGUCUCAGGUGUAGUGUCUCAUGUUGUAUCUGUUGGUGAUGUGUCAGUAAGGUGUGUCAGGUGAUUUAUGUCUCAGGUGUAGUGUCUCAUGUUGUAUCUGUUGGUGAUGUGUCAGUAAGGUGUGUCAGGUGAUUUAUGUCUCAGGUGUAGUGUCUCAUGUUGUAUCUGUUGGUGAUGUGUCAGUACAGGUGUGGCAGGUGAUGGCUCAGGUGUAGUGUCUCAUGUUGUAUCUGUUGGUGAUGUGUCAGUACAGGUGUGGCAGGUGAUGGCUCAGGUGUAGUGUCUCAUGUUGUAUCUGUUGGUGAUGUGUCAGUACAGGUGUGGCAGGUGAUUUAUGUCUCAGGUGUAGUGUCUCAUGUUGUUUCUGUUGGUGAUGUGUCAGUACAGGUGUGGCAGGUGAUGUCUCAGGUGUAGUGUCUCAUGUUGUAUCUGUUGGUGAUGUGUCAGUACAGUUGUGGCAGGUGAUUUAUGUCUCAGGUGUAGUGUCUGAUGUUGUAUCUGUUGGUGAUGUGUCAGUACAGGUGUGGCAGGUGAUGUCUCAGGUGUAGUGUCUCAUGUUGUAUCUGUUGGUGAUGUGUCAGUACAGGUGUGGCAGGUGAUGUCUCAGGUGUAGUGUCUCAUGUUGUAUCUGUUGGUGAUGUGUCAGUACAGUUGUGGCAGGUGAUUUAUGUCUCAGGUGUAGUGUCUGAUGUUGUAUCUGUUGGUGAUGUGUCAGUACAGGUGUGGCAGGUGAUUUAUGUCUCAGGUGUAGUGUCUGAUGUUGUAUCUGUUGGUGAUGUGUCAGUACAGGUGUGGCAGGUGAUUUAUGCCUCAGGUGUAGUGUCUCAUGUUGUAUCUGUUGGUGAUGUGUCAGUACAGGUGUGGCAUGUGAUUUAUGUCUCAGUUGUAGUGUCUCAGGUAACAUUAAGACGGGUGGAGUUAUGUGUACCCAACUGUUGAUGAAGUUACAACACAAAUAUCAGCUGCAACAUUGUUCAAAUAUAAUGAAAUCUAUUGCCCCUGGAUUCUGGGCUCUGUUAAUUUAUUUAACACAAAAUGAAAUUUGUCAUACAAAACUAAUCUGCAUAGUUCAAUGUGAUCGUAUUCAAUGACUAAUAAAUAUUUAAAUGUUUCUAAGAUUUUAGUUUUCAAUUUUUACAAUAUUAAAUCUUUCAAUUCAAUUUUAAUUAUCAAAUAUUUUACAGUUAAUAAUUUUUUUGGGAAAAUAAACAGUACAUAAAAUGUUUGACAAAA